AAGUGGAUUAGUGGCGCACGGGUGAGUAACGCAUAGGUAAUAUGCCUCAUAGUCUAGGAUAGCCACUGGAAACGGUGAUUAAUACUGGAUACUCCCUAUGGGGGAAAGUUUUUCGCUAUGAGAUUAGCCUAUGUCCUAUCAGCUUGUUGGUGAGGUAAUGGCUCACCAAGGCUAUGACGGGUAUCCGGCCUGAGAGGGUGAACGGACACACUGGAACUGAGACACGGUCCAGACUCCUACGGGAGGCAGCAGUAGGGAAUAUUGCUCAAUGGGGGAAACCCUGAAGCAGCAACGCCGCGUGGAGGAUGAAGGUUUUAGGAUUGUAAACUCCUUUUGUUAGAGAAGAUA
rnacentral:rRNA from 1 species